rnacentral:rRNA from 1 species
GAUUAGAUACCCUGGUAGUCCACGCCGUAAACGAUGAGUGCUAAGUGUUAGGGGGUUUCCGCCCCUUAGUGCUGCAGCUAACGCAUUAAGCACUCCGCCUGGGGAGUACGACCGCAAGGUUGAAACUCAAAGGAAUUGACGGGGGCCCGCACAAGCGGUGGAGCAUGUGGUUUAAUUCGAAGCAACGCGAAGAACCUUACCAGGUCUUGACAUCCUUUGACCACUCUGGAGACAGAGCUUUCCCUUCGGGGACAAAGUGACAGGUGGUGCAUGGUUGUCGUCAGCUCGUGUCGUGAGAUGUUGGGUUAAGUCCCGCAACGAGCGCAACCCUUGAUUUUAGUUGCCAGCAUUUAGUUGGGCACUCUAAAGUGACUGCCGGUGCAAGCCGGAGGAAGGUGGGGAUGACGUCAAAUCAUCAUGCCCCUUAUGACCUGGGCUACACACGUGCUACAAUGGAUAGUACAAAGGGUCGCGAAGCCGCGAGGUGGAGCUAAUCCCAUAAAACUAUUCUCAGUUCGGAUUGUAGGCUGCAACUCGCCUACAUGAAGCCGGAAUCGCUAGUAAUCGUGGAUCAGCAUGCCACGGUGAAUACGUUCCCGGGCCUUGUACACACCGCCCGUCACACCACGAGAGUUUGUAACACCCGAAGUCGGUAGGGUAACCUUUAUGGAGCCAGCCGCCGAAGGUGGGACAGAUAAUUGGGGUGAAGUCGUAACAAGGUAGCCGUAUCGGAAGGUGCGGCUGGAUCACCUCCUUUCUAAGGAA